ensembl:lncRNA
GUCCUCGUGCAUCCUCGUGCACGUGUCCUCGUGCAUCCUCGUGCGUCCUCGUGCAUCCUCGUGCGUCCUCGUGCACGUGUCCUCGUGCAUGUGUCCUCGCUUGCGUCCUCGUGCGUGCGUCCUUGUGCGUCCUCGUGCACGUGCCCUUGCGUGCAUCCUCAUGAGCGUGUCCUCGCGUGCGUCCUCGUGCAUCCUUGUGCAUCGUGCAUCCUUGUGCGUGCGUCCUUGUGUGUCCUCGUGCAUGCGUCCUCGCAUGCAUCCUCGUGCGUGAGUGCUCGUGCACAUGUCCUUGCACGCAUCCUCGUGCAUGCGUCCUUGUGCAUGUGUCCUCACGUGUGCCUCCUCACGCACGCGUCCUCAUGGGCGCGUCCUUUUUGCACGCGCCCUUGUGCACAUGUGCUCGUGCCCGGGUCCUCAUGCAUCCUCGUGCACACCUCCUCGCGCGCGCACCCUCGUGUGCGUCCUCUCGUGCGCGUCCCCGUGCACGUGUCCCCGGGCAGCCUCGCGCGUGCAGCCUCGUGCACAUGCCCUCGUGCAAAUGUCCCUGUGCACGCAUCCUCAUGCGUGCACCCUCGCACACGUGUCCUUGUGCACGCGUCCUUGUGCACAUGGCCUUGUGCGCACAUGCUCGUGCGUGUGUUCUUGUGCACGCGUCCCCGUGCGUGUGCAUUCUCACGCGUGCACCCCUUUGCACGUGCCCUCGUGCACGCAUCCUUGUGCACGUGCAUCAUGUGUGCCCCCUCGUGCACAUGUCCUUGUGCACGCGUCCUCGUGCGUGCAGCCUUGUGUGUGCACCCUUGUGCACGCGUCCUUGUGCACGCAUCCCCACAUGUGUCCUUGUGCACACGUCUUCGUGCAUAUGUCCUUGUGCACGCACCCUCGUGCGCGUGCAUCCUCACGUGUGCACCCUUGUACAUAUGUCCUUGUGCACACAACCUUGUGUAUGCGUCCUUGCACAUAUGUCCUCGUGCACGCAUCCUUGUGCACACAUCCCCGCACGUAUGUCCUUGUGCACGCGUCCUCAUAUGUGCGUUCUCAUGCGUAUGUCCCUGUGCACACGUCCUCGCACAUAUGUUCUUGUGCGUGCAUCCUUGUGCACGUGUCUUUGUGCGCACAUUCUCAUACGUGCAUCCUUGUGCACGCGUCCUCGUGCGUGUGCAUCCUCAGGCGUGCACCUCUUUGUAUCUGUGCUUGUGCACGCAUCCUUGCACACAUGUCCUCGUGCACGCGUCCUCGUGCGUGUGCAUCCUCACACGUGCACCCUUGUGCAUAUGUCCUUGUGCACGCGUCCUUGUGCACGCAUCCCUGCACAUAUGUCCUUGUGCACACGUGUUCGUGCAUAUGUGCUUGUGCACGCAUCCUCGUGUGCGCAUCCUCAUGCAUAUGUUCCUGUGCGCACGUCCUUGUGCAUGUGUCCUUGUGCACGCAUCCCCACACAUGUCCCUGUGCACGUGCCCUCGUGCGUGUGCAUCCUCACGCGUGCGCCCUUGUGCAUGUGUCCUCGUGCACGCGACCUUGUGUGUGCGUCCUUGCACGUAUGUCCUUGCGCACGCGUCCUUGUGCACGCACGCUUGCACACGUGUCCUCGUGUGCAUCCCCACGCCCUCGCACACGCGCCUCCCCCCGCCGCCGCCACCGCCUGCUCACACCUGCGUCACCCGCCGCCGCCCUGUGCCGUAGGCCGCCGCUGCACCACCAACCGCUGCACCUCCACCUGCUGCACCGUCAACCACCGCUGCAUCGUUGACCACCGUUGCAUUGUCAACCGUUGCAUCGUUGACCACCGUUCCACCACCAACCGUCGCAUCGUUGACCACCGUUGCAUUGUCAACCGUUGCAUCGUUGACCAUCGUUCCACCACCAACCGUUGCAUCGUUGGCCACCGUUCCACCACCAACCAUUGCAUCGUUGGCCGCCGUUCCACCAUCAACCACCGCACCGUUGACCACCGUUGCGCCGUCAACCGUUGCGCCGUCAACCGUCGCGCCGUCAAGCGCCACAGCACCGCCCUUGCGNNNNNNNNNNNNNNNNNNN